rnacentral:rRNA from 1 species
AGCGAACGCUGGCGGCAGGCUUAACACAUGCAAGUCGAACGGUCAUAGCAAUAUGUCUGUGGCAGACGGGUGAGUAACGCGUGGGAACGUACCUUUUGGUUCGGAACAACACAGGGAAACUUGUGCUAAUAUCGGAUAAGCCCAUACGGGGAAAGAUCUAUCGCCGAAAGAUCGGCCCGCGUGUGAUUAGCUAGUUCGUAGGGUAAUGGCCUACCAAGGCGACGAGCCGUAGCUGGUCUUAGAGGAUGAUCAGCCACAUUGGGACUGAGACCCGGCCCAAAUCCCCACGGAUGGCAGCAGUGGGGAAUAUGGGACAAUGCGCGAAUGCCUGAUCCAUCCAUACCGCGAGACUGAUGAAGGCCCGAGGAAUGUAAAGCUCUGUAGUUCGGGAAGAUAAGAACGUAACCGAAAGGAUAAGCCCCGGCUAACUCCGG